rnacentral:rRNA from 1 species
UACGGGGGGUGCAAGCGUUGUCCGGAAUCAUUGGGCGUAAAGCGUUCGUAGGCGGUAUGUCAAGUCUGAUGUUAAAGCCCGGGGCUCAACUCCGGUUCGGCAUUGGAUACUGGCAAACUAGAAUGUGGUAGAGGUAAAGGGAAUUCCUGGUGUAGCGGUGAAAUGCGUAGAUAUCAGGAGGAAUACCGUUAGCGAAGGCGGCAAUCUGGCUGGAAACUGACGCUGAGGUGCGAAAGCGUGGGUAGCAAACAGG